UCCGGUUUAUCACCGGCAGUCUCCUUUGAGUUCCCGACCGAAUCGCUGGCAACAAAGGAUAAGGGUUGCGCUCGUUGCGGGACUUAACCCAACAUUUCACAACACGAGCUGACGACAGCCAUGCAGCACCUGUCUCAGAGCUCCCGAAGGCACCAAAGCAUCUCUGCCAAGUUCUCUGGAUGUCAAGAGUAGGUAAGGUUCUUCGCGUUGCAUCGAAUUAAACCACAUGCUCCACCGCUUGUGCGGGCCCCCGUCAAUUCAUUUGAGUUUUAACCUUGCGGCCGUACUCCCCAGGCGGUCGAUUUAACGCGUUAGCUCCGAAAGCCACGGCUCAAGGCCACAACCUUCAAAUCGACAUCGUUUACAGCGUGGACUAC
rnacentral:misc_RNA from 1 species